rnacentral:rRNA from 1 species
UUUAAAGUCUGACCUGCCCAAUGAGUAGUUAAAUGGCCGCGGUAAUUUGACCGUGCAAAGGUAGCAUAAUCAUUAGUUUUUUAAUUGAAAGCUGGAAUGAACGGUUGGACGAGAAAAUAACUGUCUCAAUUUAAUUUAAUGUAGAAUUUUAUUUAUAAGUAAAAAAGCUUAUAUGAUUUUAAAAGACGAGAAGACCCUAUAGAGUUUUAUAUUUUAUUAUAUUGAUUAGGGUUAGAAUUUUUACAUUUUUAAUAUAAUAAAUUAUUUUGCUGGGGCAGCAGAAAAAUUUAAUAAACUUUUUUUAUUUAAUAACAUUGAUUUAUGAAUGAUUGAUCCAUUAUUAAUGAUUAUAAGAUUAAAUUACCUUAGGGAUAACAGCGUAAUUUUUUUUUAGAGUUCUUAUCGAAAAAAGAGUUUGCGACCUCGAUGUUGGAUUAAAAUUAACUUUUGGUGCAGGGGCUAAAAGGUUAGGUCUGUUCGACCUUUAAAAUUUUACAUGAUCUGAGUUUAAACCGGCGUGAGCCAGGUUGGUUUCUAUCUUUAAAUAAAUUAAAUAUUUUAGUACGAAAGGAUUAGAUAUUUUUAAAAUUUAAUAUAUUUUGAAUAUGAUUA